rnacentral:rRNA from 1 species
GACGAACGCUGGCGGCGUGCCUAAUACAUGCAAGUAGAACGCUGAAGCUUGGUGCUUGCACCGAGCGGAUGAGUUGCGAACGGGUGAGUAACGCGUAGGUAACCUGCCUGGUAGCGGGGGAUAACUAUGGGAAACGGUAGCUAAUACCGCAUAAGAGUAGAUGUUGCAUGACAUUUGCUUAAAAGGUGCAAUUGCAUCACUACCAGGUGGACCUGCGUUGGAUUAGCUAGGUGGUGAGGUAACGGCCUACCCAGGCCACGGUACAUAGCCGAACCGAGGGGGGUGUCGGCCCACCUGGGACCGUGGCCCCGCCCCAACUCCCUCCGGGGGCCGCCGUAGGGGAUCUUUCGCAAUUGGCGGAAGGCCGACCGGGCCACGCCGCGUGGGGGAAGGAGGGUUUCGGGUCCUUAAGCUCUGUUGUAAGAGGAGAACCAGUGUGGGAGUGGACAGUUCACACUGUGACGGUAUCUUACCAGAAAGGGACGGCUAACUACGUG